ACACUUUUUCACCCUAAUGAACAAAAAUAAUGUGGGAAUUAUCACCUCUAAAAAAUAACUCAUAAUAAGUGUUGGGUAUAAAAUACCUCCAGCUGAAGUUUGUAAAAGACCGAUCCUUCCAGUGUUGGAGCACGAUCCCGGCUCCUCCCACGGACCUUUGGUGCAGCGGAACCAGCAACGAAUAGAUCUGGAGACUUCUGCACACAAUUCAAGGCCCUUACGAAAUCAGUCUGGUUGCUGUCUUCUUCGUCAGCCUUUCGUUCC
rnacentral:lncRNA from 1 species